GCUUAACGACAUGGCAAGUCGAACGGAAAGGCCCUUCGGGGUACUCGAGUGGCGAACGGGUGAGUAACACGUGGGUGAUCGUGCCCUGCACUUUGGGAUAAGCCUGGGAAACUGGGUCUAAUACCGAAUAGGACCACGCGCUUCAUGGUGUGUGGUGGAAAGCUUUUGCGGUGUGGGAUGGGCCCGCGGCCUAUCAGCUUGUUGGUGGGGUAAUGGCCUACCAAGGCGACGACGGGUAGCCGGCCUGAGAGGGUGACCGGCCACACUGGGACUGAGAUACGGCCCAGACUCCUACGGGAGGCAGCAGUGGGGAAUAUUGCACAAUGGGCGCAAGCCUGAUGCAGCGACGCCGCGUGAGGGAUGACGGCCUUCGGGUUGUAAACCCUCUUUCAAUAGGGACGAAGCGUGAGUGACGGUACCUAUAGAAGAAGCACCGGCCAACUACGUG
rnacentral:rRNA from 1 species